AUUUGUAUUUUAUAAUAAUAGGUAAAAAUAACAAAAUUAUACAUACAGUUUCCAAUCACAUAAAUUAUCUACUAAUUCAUAUUAAGCUUAAUAAAUAUUGCAAUUUGAAUAAAAAGUACAUUUUUGUGAAACACUCAUGUGUAUUCCGUGGCAAGACAAUUGUAUAGAUACCAGCUAAUGACUUAACUAUGUGGGUAUUAAUUUUACUUUAGAAGUAUUAGGACAUUAUUUUCAAGUAGGUACUUAUAAAUUAUAAGUACCAUAUAAAUUAUUUAAUUUGUAUAUAAUUUUAUCAAAAACCUGAAGUAACCCAGGAAAAUAUAUAGGCACUUUGUUUUUCAAAUAAGAACAUCAUUAUUUUUGUUCACGCUAGUAUUAAUAUUCCAAUAAUUCUUCUGGAAUUUAUAGUGGUUAUAAGUCAAAUUUCAAACGAAUAAUUUAGGAAUUUUUUACAUUCAUUUAUGAAUUGUAUAUCAACUAUAGUCAUAAAUCAUAACUCAUGUAAUUGUUUCAUAAUAUCGUUUACACCAUUUGUCGCCAUAAUUCUAGUUUAGCUUCCAUACGAU